UUUUGUAGACAUUGGGGGGUCGUGAAGACUCUAUCAGUUAGUAUUUGUUCUCGAAAGGGCUUCGAUUAAUAUUGAAUAAUCAGACAUAGUACGCUAAGGUUGUAUGUCUAAAGGGAAACAGCCCAGAACAAGUGUAAAUAAGGUUCCAAAAUUAUUAUUAAGUGAAACAAAGGUAGUUUAUCUUUUAAACGUCCAGGAAAUUGGCUUAGAGGCGGCCAUUUUUUAAAGACCUCGUAACAGAGCACUGGUUUUAUUGUAGAUUAUAUAUAAUAUAAUUAUAUAUCGAGAUAAGCACCGACGAUUCCACGGAUCUAAAUAAUAUACCGAAACCUUGUCCAUGUUUAUUUAUAUAUAUGCUUGUGUAUAUAGUAUUUGUUCUCGAGAGGGCUUUGAUCAAAGUACAAGGGGAGUAUAAAUAUAUAUAUAUAUUUGUUCUCGAGAGGGCUUCGCUCAAAGUACAAGGGGAGUAUAAAUAUAUAUAUAUAUGAGUUAUAUAUAUUAGAAUGGGGUAGCGGAACAUUGGGCAAACCACAUUUUUUUUUUAUAAAAAUUUUUAGGUACCCCAAGUGAUAAUGCUGACAUGAGUAACGAUAAAGGGAUAAAUCCCUCGCCUAAAGCUUAUGGUAUUUAGUUAAAGUAACGGCCUCUAAGUUUAUAAAUAAAAACUAAAGUAUUUUCCCUAACUAGGGAUAAUGAUUUAAAGUAUUUUAGUUAACCUAAAGGAUUAAACGAUGAGCAAAUCUUUAGAAUAAAAAUAUAUAUAAAUAACAUUUUAAACAAUUUUUCUUCGUUAGACUUUCGUUAGACUUUCGUUAGACUUUCGUUAGACUUUCGUUAGACUUUCGUUAGAAAAGUGUAAAAGUGAAAAGUGUUCUGGAAAAUUGUAUUUUUUACCGCUUUACCUAAAACGUGUGGAUGUUACACACUCGUGGAAGAUAAACUAAAUAGAUGAACCAAUUUAAAGUGGUUACCGUACCUAGAUACUACCACAAGUAAGCAAGUAGAG
rnacentral:rRNA from 1 species